UACGGAGGAUGCAAGCGUUAUCCGGAUUUAUUGGGUUUAAAGGGUGCGCAGGCGGCGCGAUAAGUCAGCGGUGAAAUACCACGGCUCAACCGUGGGGCUGCCGUUGAUACUGUUGCGCUAGAGUCCGAACGGCGCCGGCGGAAUGUGUCAUGUAGCGGUGAAAUGCAUAGAGAUGACACAGAACACCGAUCGCGAAGGCAGCUGGCGAGGACGCGACUGACGCUGAGGCACGAAAGCGUGGGGAU
rnacentral:rRNA from 1 species